GGGGGAGCCUGGACUCCGAGGGCCCGUGGGGUUUCCAGGAAAGCCCGGUUCCAAAGGUCCGCCUGGGUUGCCCGGCAUGAAAGGCCUCCCCGGCCCACAGGGCAGGAUGGGUGGCUUAGGUCCUGGAGGAUUCCCUGGACCCCCGGGGCUUCCUGGUUUACACGGACAAAACGG